rnacentral:antisense_RNA from 1 species
UUCAGGGGACUUACAUCCAACUUCCGUAGAUUUUUCUCUACAUUCUCUAGAGCCACCUGCAGUUGUUUUUCAGAAAUAUCAUACAUUUGAACUUCAUAUCCAGAGCUCGCGAAAAUUGUUGCCCAGCUUGAACCAACUAGGCCGCUGGAAAGAUUAUGGGAUUUCGAAUUUGUGCUUCACCUUUAACUCACAAACCUGCCAACUAUGGCAAUUUUGCCAAAGGGAGACAUGUUGCUGGACAAGAAGACAGUCGUGUGAUGAAUGCCUUUUAUUAACAAUCGGAAUCCUUAUCAUCAUCGUUAUCAUCCGCCGCUAUGGAUCCGUAAUAACAAUAGACGCAGAGAGAGAGAGAACACGACGCUUCUUGUUCUCCAAGGAAAUCUGCGUUGAGGGUACAAGCAGAGAACAAUUUGUUAUCAUUUAUAUAUAAAU